rnacentral:rRNA from 1 species
AUUGAACGCUGGCGGCAUGCCUUACACAUGCAAGUCGAACGGUAACAGGUCUUCGGAUGCUGACGAGUGGCGAACGGGUGAGUAAUACAUCGGAACGUGCCUAGUAGUGGGGGAUAACUACUCGAAAGAGUGGCUAUACCGCAUGAGAUCUACGGAUGAAAGCAGGGGAUCGCAAGACCUUGUGCUACUAGAGCGGCCGAUGGCAGAUUAGGUAGUUGGUGGGAUAAAAGCUUACCAAGCCGACGAUCUGUAGCUGGUCUGAGAGGACGAUCAGCCACGCUGGGACUGAGACUCGGCCCAGACUCCUACGGGAGGCAGCAGUGGGGAAUUUUGGACAAUGGGCGAAAGCCUGAUCCAGCAAUGCCGCGUGCAGGAUGAAGGCCUUCGGGUUGUAAACUGCUUUUGUACGGAACGAAAAGCCCCGGGUUAAUACCCUGGGGUCAUGACGGUACCGUAAGAAUAAGCACCGGCUAACUACGUGCCAGCCGCCGCGGUAA